rnacentral:rRNA from 1 species
GGGGAAUAUUGGACAAUGGGCGAAAGCCUGAUCCAGCAAUGCCGCGUGGGUGAAGACGGCCUGCGGGUUGUAAAGCCCUUUAGGCGGGGAGGAACGACGGGACGUGAAUAGCGUUUCGGAGUGACGUUACCCGCGGAAUAAGCACCGGCUAACUCCGUGCCAGCAGCCGCGGUAAUACGGAGGGUGCGAGCGUUAAUCGGAAUUACUGGGCGUAAAGCGUGCGUAGGCGGAUGGGUCAGUCAGCCGUGAAAGCCCCGGGCUUAACCUGGGAACGGCGGUUGAGACGGCCCGUCUUGAGUGGGCUAGAGGAUCGUGGAACUCCCGGUGUAGCGGUGAAAUGCGUAGAGAUCGGGAAGAACACCGAUGGCGAAGGCAGCGAUCUGGGGCCACACUGACGCUGAGGCACGACGGCGUGGGGAGCAAAC